GUCCACACUGUAAACGAUGAUAACUAGAUGUUCGGGAGUAAUCCUGAGUGUUCAAGCGAAAGCGAUAAGUUAUCCACCUGGGGAGUACGACCGCAAGGUUGAAACUCAAAGGAAUUGACGGGGCCCGCACAAGCGGUGGAGCAUGUGGUUUAAUUCGAUGAUACGCGAGGAACCUUACCUAGGCUAGAAUGUGAGUGAAUGAUAGUGAAAGCUGUCAGUCCUUCGGACGACGAAACAAAGGUAGCUGCAUGGUUGUCGU
rnacentral:rRNA from 1 species